rnacentral:lncRNA from 1 species
UGCUUUGUUAGUUUGGGAUUUUUUUUUCAUUUGUCAGGGAUUUUUUUUCAUUUACUAUUUUUCUCUUAAUUAUUUGUUUGUUUAUUUUUUCUAGUAGAUCAUCAUAAUCACUCAUCGUAUGUAUUUUUGGAAAUUUCUUUUCUGCAAAUGUUUAUUUGUGUUGAUAAUGGCAAGAAGAUUGGCACACCUUGUUCACAUGCUAAUGCCGAUAGUUUGUUUAAAACAUUGUCCUUUAGACGUAAAAAAAAAAUUGCCAAUAAAAAAAUAAAGAAUCGUGAUAAUGUCAGUUUCAGAGAAUGUUUUGUUUGAACUAUAAGUGUGAUUUAAAAAAAAAAUAGGAUGUAUGCCUCCCUAAGAUAAGAUACUUGUAUCUACG